CUUCAGCAUCCUUGCAUAUGUUCAAUUCUUAAAAACCUGUUGAAAUAAAAGAUCAGGAGACAUAGGAGGGAUGCCAGAAGACAGCGUGGCCUCACGUGUACCAGCUCUCUGCUCUCCUUUGCCUUGGGACGUUCCAUCCCUGGAAGUUUCCCUGCCCACAUCUUUGUAGAGAGUCCAUUCUCCAAGCUUCAGUGUGUCAUCUGUUAGGACUAUGACCCACCUGGUACAUUACCUCAGGGCAUUCAUUUCAGGCUCCUUCUAAGUGGUCAAGUUUUCAAGAUUGUUUUGGCUCUAGCAAAACAAGUUGGAACAUUCACAUCAUCCAAGAAAACACCAACAUUUUUGUAAUGGCCUGCAAGGCCUUCCAAGAUCUGCCUCCUGCAACUCAGCUUCUCCUGUGCUCUUCUUCUGGACUCACUCUGCCUCAGCAACGCUGGUCCCUGUUGCCCCACCAAUAUGCCAGGCCAUGAGAGAAGCAGUACCUUAUAAUGGUUCCUUGUUCAAAGCACUCAAUAUUCCUAGGAUGUGGUCUCCCAGCUGACUUCAUAACUGAAUCAUCAGUAAUUAAUUUCAUUGUUCUAUUAGGACUUUACUGAAGACUCUAAGGAGGACCUGUAUCUGUUGGGAUCCUUAGGGCAAGCCACAGAAACAAGCUUUGGAUACUUGAAGCAGAAAAUGGAGUUAUUGAAGACUAUUGUGGAGUUUACUGUGAGACAGAGAGCCAGGCUGGGGAGCUGUACCACUUAGAAUGAGAUCCAAACUCACACCAUAGUUCCAUCCUUGAGGUCACCAUGUUGCUGCCACCCCUCCUGCCACACCGCCACUGAAGCUUUGGAUGCUGGAUUCUGGGCACAGCUGGGAGAAGUGUUGCUUAUUACCAUUUUAAUAUGUUUUCUUUCAAGACCUUUUCAAAAUAUACAUACGUAUUUUUAUUUCUAUUCAAAAUGGGAUACAUUUUUGAAGGUUAGCAAUAUAUUGUGAACAUUUUCUUUC
rnacentral:lncRNA from 1 species